rnacentral:tRNA from 1 species
GCUCGGGUGGCGGAACGGUUUACGCACAACACUUAAAAUGUUGCGGCCUUAGGGCCUUGUGGGUUCGAAUCCCACCCCGAGCA